GACAAGACCAGGUACCUGUCGGGGGAUGCGGCCGUGGUACCAGGCAUGGCUGCGCAGGUCCUCGCUGCUCAGGAGCAGCUCCUCCUCCAGCUCCUUCUUCAGUUUCUCGGGGGUCCUGUCCAUGAUGUGCCUCUCCUUGGAGAACUGCAACACAGAGUCAACCAUGAGCUCACCCUGCCCAGGCCACACCAGGCCAUGCCAGCUGGAGGUGACCGCCUGCUUCACUAAUCCAACCAGUUAUGCUACAGCCUGCAUUCAGGGAGAUGUGGCCACAGGACUCAGUUCUGACCAAGGAGCUGAGAUGUGAUGGCUGGAGACUCAACACCAUUCUGGACGGGUCUUGCUCUGUCUCCCAGGCUGGAGUGCAGUGGCGCAUUCAUAGCUCAAGUGAUCCUCCCGCCUCAGCCUCCCAGGUAGCCAGGACUACAGGUCUGCACCACCACACCCGGCCAUUGGUCUAAUUUCUAAGCAAGGCCAGUGUCUUCCAAUGAGCUCAGGGUGGGAAACCCCACGGGGGUUGGGCUGUGAACUGUACCAGGUGGCCCAAGCUGGGGGUCCAAAAAGACAGAUCCACAUCUCAAAUCCACUGAACUCUGGGAAUCCCUGUGAUGACCUGAGACCUGCAUCAUCACUGCCCCC
rnacentral:lncRNA from 1 species